UGCUCUUACCCACUGAGCCAUCUCACCAGCCCACACAAGGUACUCUUGACUGUGUCUGUAUUCACAUCCCCCACCCCGACUCCACCACUGUCUCCUUCAUCACUAGGGUCACACCAGCUUCUUGAGUAGGCCCACAAUUCCCUCUGCUGCUUCCAGAGCAGGAAAGCGCACUCUGUAGCCAGGCCCCUGCCCAAGCAUCCAGGGACAGAGUUGGCAACAGCUUUAUUUACAGCUGCAAAAGCAGCCAAGUACAGAGAACACCGGAAAACACCUAACAAAGCCACCAGGCCGCGCAUCCGGGUGUGCACACGUGUGCUUCCAGACCUCUCUCUGCCCCGACUCUCAGGUUACUCCCAGCUCCUUGCUUUAACAAUUAGAAGGGUGAAUUAUUCAUGGCACGCCAUACUGCUUGCAGAGUCUCCCAGGAGCAUACAGACUGUUACCGCCCAAGGAGUCUGCUGCCAAGUCAUUUGGACAAUGGGUAGCCAAGAAAGACCUAGCCGACCUGGUCCUCCUGCUUCCACCCCUUGAGCGAUGAGAUUACAGCUCCUUGGCACAGCCUGUACAAAAGGACUCAGAAGAAACAUUACUACGGUCACACUCUUCGAUGCUGGUCCC